rnacentral:rRNA from 1 species
GAUGAACGCUGGCGGCGUGCCUAAUACAUGCAAGUCGAGCGAACAGACGAGGAGCUUGCUCCUUUGACGUUAGCGGCGGACGGGUGAGUAACACGUAGGUAAUCUACCUAUAAGACUGGGAUAACUUCGGGAAACCGGAGCUAAUACCGGAUAAUAUUUCGAACCGCAUGGUUCGAUAGUGAAAGAUGGCUUUGCUAUCACUUAUAGAUGGACCUGCGCCGUAUUAGCUAGUUGGUAAGGUAACGGCUUACCAAGGCAACGAUACGUAGCCGACCUGAGAGGGUGAUCGGCCACACUGGAACUGAGACACGGUCCAGACUCCUACGGGAGGCGGCAGUAGGGAAUCUUCCGCAAUGGGCGAAAGCCUGACGGAGCAACGCCGCGUGAGUGAUGAAGGUCUUCGGAUCGUAAAACUCUGUUAUUAGGGAAGAACAAACGUGUAAGUAACUGUGCACGUCCUGACGGUACCUAAUCAGAAAGCCACGGCUAACUACGUG